CCUACGGGAGGCUGCAGUGAGGAAUAUUGGUCAAUGGGCGGAAGCCUGAACCAGCCAUCCCGCGUGAAGGAAGAAGGCCCUACGGGUUGUAAACUUCUUUUCUGUUUGAAGAAUAAGCCCGUCGUGACGGGUGAUGCCGGUAGGACAGGAAUAAGCAUCGGCUAACUCCGUGCCAGCAGCCGCGGUAAUACGGAGGAUGCAAGCGUUAUCCGGAUUUAUUGGGUUUAAAGGGUGCGCAGGUUGUUGAAUAAGUCAGUGGUGAAAGUCUGUCGCUUAACGGUAGGAUUGCCAUUGAUACUGUUUAACUUGAAUAUGGAUGAGGUAGGCGGAAUGUGUAGUGUAGCGGUGAAAUGCAUAGAUAUUACACAGAACACCGAUUGCGAAGGCAGCUUACUAAUCCAUUAUUGACGCUGAGGCACGAAAGCGUGGGGAUCAAACAGGAUUAGAUACCCUGGUAGUC
rnacentral:rRNA from 1 species